rnacentral:ncRNA from 3 species
UACGUAGGGGGCUAGCGUUGUCCGGAAUCAUUGGGCGUAAAGAGCGUGUAGGCGGCUUGGUAAGUCCGCUGUGAAAGUCCAGGGCUCAACCCUGGAAUGCCAGUGGAAACUGUCAAGCUAGAGUCCGGAAGAGGCGAGUGGAACUCCUGGUGUAGCGGUGAAAUGCGCAGAUAUCAGGAAGAACACCAAUGGCGAAGGCAGCUCGCUGGGACGGUACUGACGCUGAGACGCGAAAGCGUGGGGAGCAAACAGG